UUAAGCGGUGGGCGAGGGAAGGAAGCGCAAAUAGCUGGUAAAUCCCAGCGGCCUUGCGGUGCACGGGAGGGCCUCUCCGGUGAACGAUGCCGGCUGGGAGCUGUCUUCCUCUACAAAUGUAAAUUUCCUCUGCAAAGGAUGCUAACAGCGUCAACUCCACGCGCCCGCAAACCCUAACCUCUACUAGGCUUCUAAUCUAAGCAGUGCCCACAGCCAACAACGUCAUCAAGAAUGGGUACCAAUGGGGCGCCUGGGUGGCGCAGUCGGUUAAGCGUCCGACUUCAGCUCAGGUCACGAUCUCGCGGUCGGGGCAGAAGAGAAACUUCUGGGGCAAGGUGUGACAGGGCAAGAUCCUGAUAGGCGAGCAUGCGAACAGCUCCCUGCGACGACGCGUGACCUGGAGAGAUGGCCCUUAAUUUCUCGGGAGGGAUUUCUAAGACCAAAAGCCAAGCGGCUGCUGACCAGUGGCUGCCCCAGGACGUCUGCCUCUUUUACUGAAUCCUGCUGAAUGCGGCGCCUGACGAAGGGUGUGUCCGGGCUGAGGAGGGUGCAUUUGAUGGCAGUCAAGGGCAGCCCAGUUUCGUAUUUUCAAAGUGAAACAGAGAAGUCCACUUAUCUGAUGCACUUGGGAGAGUAGUUGACGAAGAAACACGCAUUUGUGAAGGAUUCAUAGACAGAGACGAUGCCACUGUAACUGAAAAGAUGUAAUUUGUUGGCUGCUCUUUGAUCCCAGAGCCAAGUUCUGUUCUUCGAGCGAGAUCCCCUUAUGAGCAAACCCAGGAUGAAUUCAGCUGGGACCCAGUUAUAAUCUACAUUUCUCUACUUUUUCUUUUCUUUUUUGUAAAGUUUUUUGUAAUGUUUACUUAUUUUGAGAGAGAGAGAGAGAGGGAGAG